UUGUUGUCUUUUUUUCAGAUAUGCAGAGUCAGUGGGUGCAAAACACUAUCACACAUCAGCCAAAUUAAACAAAGGCAUUGAGGAGCUGUUUCUGGACCUGUGUAAACGCAUGAUGGAGAUGGCUCAGGCAGAGGAGAGGUCAAGGGGGAACGGCGCGAGUCACACAAGCACAGCCCGGAGAGGCGUACAGAUUGUCGACGAUGAGCCGCAGACUGCCAUGCCUGCCGGAGGCUGUUGUACAUCUGGCUAAACACACUUAACCCCCUUUUACCAUACCUGGGACUGAUAACGGCCUCUCUCGCCCUCCUCUGUGUAAGAACUGCCACUUCCCACAGCUACGCCCGUCUGUGACUGCUCUACAGCUCUGUCAAUCAUUUCUUUAACAGUUAGUUCCUUAUUGAAAGGGUUGAUUUGCAACUCCACCCUUUGCCGGCAGACUUUAGGGUCAAAAAGUUUGACCUGUGCUGAAGAUAUUCACUUAAACAAAUUAUUACAAAAAUGAUAGUGCCCAGUCGUAUAAAACACACAUGCACUGAUACAGUUCCCUAACAAUCUGAUAUGUUAGCACUUUUUCUUCUUUUGGCAAGUUGUUGUGCAUGUAGAAUCUUUAAAAUCCUAGUUUUAUUUUACGUCUAAGAAAAAAAAUAAUAAAUUCUUUAUUAUUUAAUAACUUAUUUACAAUUUCAUCAAACAUCAACAUAUCCAAAUACCUUUUGUUCUUCUUAUAAUCGAUGGGCUUGUGUCAUUCUUAUACAGUCUCAUUCUUCUGUCAUUCAUAUCUUCUGUAUCUUUCUUAAAAAUGCAACAUUAAAAUCCAUCUAGAACAUUUAAACUCCUUGUAGAUUUUGUCUUUUCUCUUCAACUUGCUGAUUUACCACUAGCCAAAAUUUGAAAAUAUAUUGUUGUUGUUUGCUUGCUAAAUUCUUUAUUGGCAGAAAUAUCCAAUUCUGUGUACUUUACUUUUCAAACAAUCAAUUGCAACAGCGAGUCAGAAAAGUAUACCAUAUUUGAUAUUAAUGUUGUAUGAAUGUAUAAUGAAUAAUAAUGGUUUUUAAAUUUUUUGUGUUUUUUAACUGCUACUUUUACGAUGUUAAUUGUGUCCCCCCUCCCUCCAAGACCUGAACAUUUGGACAACAGUUUUUGAAAAUACUAAUAGUUUCCACAACCACAUCACCUGUAAACACUGAGGUGCAGCUGUGAGCCUUCUGUGCCUUUAAAUAAAAGUGUCUAGAUU